rnacentral:rRNA from 1 species
AGUGAACGCUGGCGGUAGGCCUAACACAUGCAAGUCGAACGGCAGCACAGUAAGAGCUUGCUCUUACGGGUGGCGAGUGGCGGACGGGUGAGGAAUACAUCGGAAUCUACUUUUUCGUGGGGGAUAACGUAGGGAAACUUACGCUAAUACCGCAUACGACCUACGGGUGAAAGCAGGGGAUCUUCGGACCUUGCGCGAUUGAAUGAGCCGAUGUCGGAUUAGCUAGUUGGCGGGGUAAAGGCCCACCAAGGCGACAAUCCGUAGCUGGUCUGAGAGGAUGAUCAGCCACACUGGAACUGAGACACGGUCCAGACUCCUACGGGAGGCAGCAGUGGGGAAUAUUGGACAAUGGGCGCAAGCCUGAUCCAGCCAUACCGCGUGGGUGAAGAAGGCCUUCGGGUUGUAAAGCCCUUUUGUCGGGAAAGAAAAGCAGCAGGUUAAUACCCCGCUGUUCUGACGGUACCCAAAGAAUAAGCACCGGCUAACUUCGUG